AGGUAAACUUCAGAAGUCAAAUUUUAGAGGAGUCUCCAUCUACCCUCACAUUUUUCACCUACAAUUUUGCAGGUACAGCAAAACCAGAUGCUCUGCUUUAUACCUUGAGACUUAAAUACUACAGCAAAGAUCAGUUUCAAAAAGGAGAAUCAAUGAAAAGGCAGUUUACUGGAUAUUGUCACAUACACUACAAUGGGUGCUCCUCGUAAUGGGAUAUAUUCUGUUGUUGAGAUCCUGGGGACAGGCAUAGCCAGGAAAUCAUCCCACUGGAGCUGCACUGUCAGAGAGCCUAGAGGCUGUGAGCUGUCAGAGGCCAGAGCUAGCAGAGAGGACCAGGAUCUCAGUGUGGAUGACCCUGCUCUCUCAUGGAUAUCAGAGGAUCAACAAGCCCAUUAACUAAAAGGAUGUCUUAAAGAAGUUGAAGAAUGUCAUAUGAUGGGAAAUGGGAAACUGGAUGUCUCCAAGGACUUUGAAAUAAGAUAAAAACAUUUCACAUCUACGCCAUUUGUUCAAAUCCAGCCAAGAUGGCGAUGACCAAAAGUUGACAGAACUGGAAAGCUGUUCAGUGGCCAAUAAGUAGUUUCACUAGUUGCAGUUUCUUGUGUGUGGAUAUUCAAUUCACAGAACUACCAUUACACAUUUGAUAAGUCUCAGUAAAGAAGCCAAUGGCUAAAUGAACCUGGAACACAUCAUUUCAAAGACAGUACCUCCAGACCUUUCCUGAGCAUUUAAUUUUAUUAUUAAAAUAAAUCAUACCACCUUAAAAUUGUUAAAACCUCAAAUGGGGCAUGGUAUAUAUACUAUCCAACCUCACUGGUACUUCAAAUACCUCACUUGAUAUUACAUAAAAAUAUUAUAAUUACAUUCAUUUCAGAACAAUUUAUAUUUACAUUCUGCAUAUCUAUAUUGUGUCCAUGGUAACUCUGCAGGGUUGUGGAGUCAAACAGGAAAUGGUUAAGUGGCUAAAGAGUAGAUGCAGCUGGACCUCAUGCACCUACCUGGCACAGCUGUUAUUUAUAAACAAAGGAAAACACAAGACAUGUUCAGAUUAGAAGGAAAGAACUAAAUGCUGUGUUUUUAAGAUAGCUAUUUUCCCCAAAGAAGAGGAUGUUAUUUUUGGGAGUUGCUUUAUGUCUUACAAAGGUAAGGCUGUUUAUUUGGACUUUGAUUAUACCCUGGAAAAGAGAGAAUUUAAGAGUUUAUUUAUUUUAUAAUUUUGUAUUACCAGAAAGGGAAUGCCUAGCCCAUGAUAAAAGCAAAUAAGAAUGUCUGAAGUUUAAUUACAACAUACUAAUAGCUUUUAAAUGUUCACUGUCAACUUGAAGUCUACCUAAUUUUUUUAAAAAGUUAGCCACUUUCAGGUACUACAUCUGGCCUACCUCCUCUACCAUGAUGUGUGAUUUUUAUGCUCACAUUUUACUACUUCUGUAAAUGUGUAUUUUCUCUUCCCUGCUGCGAUGUGAAAAACCACACACAAGCACAAGUAACUGGCUACAAUACAGUAAAUAUUGUCAACUGUACAAAUAAAGAA